rnacentral:tRNA from 1 species
UGGGGCUAUAGCUCAGUUGGUAGAGUGCUUGCCUAGCAUGCACCAGGGCCUGGGUUCAAUCCCCAGAUCCAUAA